CAGUGUCUUCAACAAAUAAAUUACAGGUGUUUGUGCAGGAGUGGAGGGGAUGUGGAGAGAAAGAGGGAGGGAUCUUUAGACUGAUUGAAUGUGUGGGCUUUAGUUGGAUUUGUCUUCAAAGAGACUGAACAUUUUGUCUGUGUGAAGGGAAGGUGUAUACAAUAAGAUAUGAAACAAAUAUGGAACUGUGAACACCUAUUAGAUAUUUACUUUAUCAAGAAAUCAUUUUAAUCCUUUUUCAGUGUGACAGUGGCACUGUGCUUAUGUUUUUUAAAAAGUUUUUAUCUUUUUAAAGAUGCACAAUAAAGUACCGAUGAAGAGCCGCAAUGCCUGGGAGUAAGGACUGAGCAGAAAUAUCAAACAAACCGUAUUUGCCAUGAGUUGUGGCUGUUAAGGCUGGGCGAUGGGUCAGCUCAAGCAGUUCCCUAGUCGCAGAAGCAAAGCUCAGCUGUGGAGUACAGAGGAGGUCCCUUUAAAACAUUUCCCUUUCUGGUUGUGAGAGUCGUAGCAUCUUCAGCAAGAGUAGACUCCAUCUCAAGAAACCACUUCAUCUGCUCACCCAUAAGAAGCAACUCUUUGAUAUAGGUGCCUGCUGGCUAGUCAAGGUGAUGAUUGCUGAAGGCUGGCGAUUUUUUAAAAUAAGGCAACAUUGAAAUUUACCAUAUCAAUGGACUCUUUCUUCCAUGAAAACUUUCCUUGUGUCAUACCAUGUUGCUAGAGAGCAUUUAACCCACCGUAGAACUUCUUUCAAAAUUAGUGUCAAUCCUCUUAAACCCUGAUGCUGUUUUAUCAACUAAGUUUCUGAAAUAUUCUAAAUCGUUUGCUUUCGUUUCAAAGGUAUGUUCACAGCAUCCUCACCAGGAGGAGAUUCCAUCUCAGGACACCAUUUUCUUUGCUCAUCCAUAAGAAACAA